rnacentral:rRNA from 1 species
UACGUAGGGGGCGAGCGUUGUCCGGAGUUACUGGGCGUAAAGGGCACGCAGGCGGUUCGAUAAGUUGCGGAUGACAGCGUCUGGCUAAACUAGACGAGUGUUCGCAAGACUGUCGAACUUGAGGGCCAGAGAGGGACAUAGAAUUCCGGGUGGAGUGGUGAAAUGCGUAGAUAUCCGGAGGAAUACCAAAGGCGAAGGCAGUGUCCUGGAUGGUACCUGACGCUCAGGUGCGAAAGCUAGGGGAGCGAACGG